rnacentral:rRNA from 1 species
UACGUAGGUGGCAAGCGUUGUCCGGAUUUACUGGGCGUAAAGAGCGCGCAGGCGGUCGAUUUCAAGUCGCGUGUGAAAGCCCCCGGCUCAACUGGGGAGGGUCACGCGAUACUGAUCGACUCGAAGGCAGGAGAGGGAAGUGGAAUUCCCGGUGUAGUGGUGGAAAUGCGUAGAUAUCGGGAGGAACACCAGUGGCGAAGGCGGGUCUCUGGGCCGAUACUGACGCUGAGGAGCGAAAGCGUGGGAGCAACAGG